GGUGCCCAAGGCAGCCUGUCCUCCCAUCAAGCUCCUCCCUCGUUUUUGUCGCUGCAAAAUGAGUACCGGCGGGCGGGCUAUAUAAGAGAUUCCCCAGCCCGGCGCCCGCAGACGGUUCCUGGGCAGGCAAAAUGAAUGUCGUGCAGGCAGUGGUGUGCUUGGCAGCGCUAGCGGGGUCUGGCUAUGCCCAGCUAGUGCAGUACUCUUUCAACUUUUUGGACGGCCCCACCACACGCGCGGAGACCCUGGACGCAUCUGGCAUCGUCAGAGGAACCUUCAACUUUUUGGACAGCCAAGGGAACCUGAAGGCACAGCACUACGACUACACGGUGCAGGUUGGCCCACCUGCUGUAAACUUCGUUGAACCUGUUCCAGUGACCGAAGGUGUGGCGCCAGUCCAACCCCAAGAGACGGCGCCUGAGCUCACAGACGAGGUAUCUCACACCGCUCCUGCCUCUCCUGAACUUAUUCAAGAAGAAUCGAUUCCUGCUCCUGAAGCACUUGAACCUAUCCAAGAUGUCCCUGCAGUAACCGAGGCACCUCAUCCCACUACCAGCAACCCUGAGGACACCCCCGCUACCCUUGAGCCCACCACAGAGCCGCCAACACCCACAACAACUGAGUCUCCCUUUGAUGCCUUCAAGAUUGACUUCAAGAGAUUCGGUCAGCGUCUCCGAGCUCUUGCACGUUUUACACCCACUCCCAGCCGCGCUGCUCGUACCAGAAGAGCAGUUCUGGUGCCCGGACCCUUCACCUACGCCGACCCUCAGAGCUUGAACACAUUCCCUGCUCCCCUGGUCUACUCCCAUCCCACAGUGGCCUACUCUUCCGCCUUCCCUGCUGUCGCCGCCUACUCUGGAAUUACGGCCGCCGCCCCUGCCGCAGCACGCGACGCUGCCCUGCUGCGGGUGGUGCACAACCCCGCCCACUCUCUUUCCUACCGCGUGGACUGAGCACCACGCGCCAUGGCCAAGGCCAUGAGUACUUGCUUCCUUGCUUAUGCUCAUUUCUCUCUCUCUCUCUCUCUCUCUCUCUCUCUCUCUCUCUCUCUCUCUCUCUCUCUCUCUCUCUCUCUCUCUCUCUCUCUCUC